GGAUUCGUAGCUCAGCUGGUUAGAGCGUCCGCAUGACAUGCGGAAGGUCACAGGUUCGAUCCCUGUCGAAUCCA
rnacentral:tRNA from 1 species